rnacentral:rRNA from 1 species
UGAGGAAUAUUGGUCAAUGGACGAGAGUCUGAACCAGCCAAGUCGCGUGAAGGAAGACGGUUCUAUGGAUUGUAAACUUCUUUUGUCUGAGGGUAAAGUUAGGUACGUGUCCUGCUGUGAGAGUACCCGAAGAAAAAGCAUCGGCUAACUCCGUGCCAGCAGCCGCGGUAAUACGGAGGAUGCGAGCGUUAUCCGGAUUUAUUGGGUUUAAAGGGUGCGCAGGCGGCGUGCCAAGUCAGCGGUCAAAGUUCCGGGCUCAACCCGGUGAUGCCGUUGAAACUGGUGUGCUUGAGUGCGUGCGAGGGAGGCGGAAUGCGUUGUGUAGCGGUGAAAUGCAUAGAUAUGACGCAGAACUCCGAUUGCGAAGGCAGCUUUCCAGCACGCCACUGACGCUGAGGCACGAAAGCGUGGGGAUCGAACAGGAUUAGAUACCCUGGUAGU